AACAGGAUUAGAUACCCUGGUAGUCCACGCCGUAAACGUUGUCGACUUGGAGGUUGUGCCCUUGAGGCGUGGCUUCCGGAGCUAACGCGUUAAGUCGACCGCCUGGGGAGUACGGCCGCAAGGUUAAAACUCAAAUGAAUUGACGGGGGCCCGCACAAGCGGUGGAGCAUGUGGUUUAAUUCGAUGCGACGCGAAGAACCUUACCUACUCUUGACAUCCAGAGAACUUAGCAGAGAUGCUUUGGUGCCUUCGGGAACUCUGAGACAGGUGCUGCAUGGCUGUCGUCAGCUCGUGUUGUGAAAUGUUGGGUUAAGUCCCGCAACGAGCGCAACCCUUAUCCUUUGUUGCCAGCGGUUAGGCCGGGAACUCAAAGGAGACUGCCAGUGAUAAACUGGAGGAAGGUGGGGAUGACGUCAAGUCAUCAUGGCCCUUACGAGUAGGGCUACACACGUGCUACAAUGGCGCAUACAAAGAGAAGCGACCUCGCGAGAGCAAGCGGACCUCAUAAAGUGCGUCGUAGUCCGGAUUGGAGUCUGCAACUCGACUCCAUGAAGUCGGAAUCGCUAGUAAUCGUGGAUCAGAAUGCCACGGUGAAUACGUUCCCGGGCCUUGUACACACCGCCCGUCACACCAUGGGAGUGGGUUGCAAAAGAAGUAGGUAGCUUAACCUUCGGGAGGGCGCUUACCACUUUGUGAUUCAUGACUGGGGUGAAGUCGUAACAAGGUAACCA
rnacentral:rRNA from 1 species